CGUGGGGGGGGUGCCUGACCAUGCCAGUCGAACGGGUGCUAACUGCCCGCAAGGGUGGUUAGCGCUAGUGGCGGACCUUUUGAGGAACACGNGGGCAACCUGCCUGAGAGNGCAGAACACCCUUGCGAAAGCAGAGCUAAUACUGCAUGUGGUUGUUGGAUGGCAUCGUCUGACAACUAAAGUCGCAAGACGCUCUCCCAUGGGCCCGCGGCCCAUUAGCUAGUUGGUGAGGUAACGGCCCACCAAGGCAAUGAUGGGUAGCUGGUCUGAGAGGACGGACAGCCACACUGGGACUGAGACACGGCCCAGACUCCUACGGGAGGCAGCAGUGAGGAAUUUUCCGCAAUGGGCGAAAGCCUGACGGAGCAACGCCGCGUGAGGGAUGAAGUCUCUAGGGAUGUAAACCUCUGUUGGGAGGGACGAAGAUCUGACGGUACCUCCUGAGGAAGCCCCGGCUAACUACGUGCCAGCAGCCGCGGUAAUACGUAGGGGGCGAGCGUUAUCCGGAUUUACUGGGUGUAAAGAGCGCGUAGGCGGUUC
rnacentral:rRNA from 1 species